CAGCAGCCGCGGGAAUACAGAGGAUGCAAGCGUUAUCCGGAAUGAUUGGGCGUAAAGCGUCUGUAGGUGGCUUUUCAAGUCCGCCGUCAAAUCCCAGGGCCCAACCCUGGACAGGCGGUGGAAACUACCAAGCUGGAGUACGGUAGGGGCAGAGGGAAUUUCCAGUGGAGCGAUGAAAUGCGUUGAGAUCGAAAAGAACACCAACAGCGAAAGCACUCUGCUGGGACGACACUGACACUAAGAGACGAAAGCUAGGGGAGCAAAUGGGAUUAGAUACCCCCGUAGUCCCUGUCUCUUAUAC
rnacentral:rRNA from 1 species